rnacentral:rRNA from 1 species
GAUGAACGCUGGCGGCGUGCUUAACACAUGCAAGUCGAACGAAGCACUUUAUUUGAUUUCCUUCGGGACUGAUUAUUUUGUGACUGAGUGGCGGACGGGUGAGUAACGCGUGUGUAACCUGCCUUGUACAGGGGGAUAAUAUUUGGAAACGGCUGCUAAUACCUCAUAAGCGUCCAGCGUCGCAUGAUGCAGUGGGAAGAAUUCCGGUGGAAUAAGAUGGACCCGCGUUGGAUUAGCUAGUAGGUGAGGUAACGGCCAACCAAGGCGACCAUCCAUAGCUGAGCUGAGAGGGUGACCGGCCACAUUGGGACUGAGACACGGCCCAAACUCCUACGGGAGGCAGCAGUGGGGAAUAUUGCACAAUGGGCGAAAGCCUGAUGCAGCAACGCCGCGUGAGUGAAGAAGUAAUUCGGGAUGUAAAGCUCUAUCAGCAGGGAAGAUAAUGACGGUACCUGACUAAGAAGCACCGGCUAAAUACGUG